rnacentral:lncRNA from 1 species
CUGCGCUUGCUUUUCCACUGUGUUGUCGUUGUUGUUGUUCUCGAGUGCAAUCUCCUUUGAAAGGGUCCUGCAGGAAUGACAGUAGAGUGAAUUUGAAUUUGUUCUGAAAACAUACGCUAAAGGUGGUGUUGCCCCCUGCCCGGUGUGAUAAAUCGUUGCUUAUGCAAUCGAGUGUUGGCAUAUUUGCUCGAGUGGCAUGCAACAUGCUCCAUAGAGUGCACUCGGGUUUCUUGGGGGCAUCUUCCCAACUGGUACAGUCUCAGCCAUAUCGGUGCUAUAUCCCCCCAUCGCAUUCCACUCCUCCGCUCUUAGGGGUCAGUCGUAACAGUUUCGGUUUCCAUCUGUAAGUUUCAGCUGCCGGGAGCACUUAAGUAAUUGUAACUACUUGCCCAGACUGAUAUUGCCUAUUUCACAAAUUAUUAUGAGGCCCAUUUGGAGGCACAUUCCCCCUGCCAAUGCCAGCCCACACCACUCCACAGCAGAGUCCCCAGAGCUGUUGUUACGCCUGUUGUUUAACGGCUUGAUGCCAAAAAACGACGCCAACGAUGGCUAUGAGCCUCAUCGCAUUCAAUUAUUUCGGCAUUGUGUUUUCCUUUUGCCAUCUCUCUGUCCUCUUCAGUAUCUCGCUCCGUCUCUAUCUAUCUGUCUGUCUGCCUUUCAGUCUAACUGUUACCCGGGAAAAAGCAAACGCCCGCAGUCUGAUAGUGGGUGGAGGAGGAGUCGUCUAAACAGGCCGAAGGUUGAAUUGGUGUUGGAACUGUUUCGGUGCGUACGCCAGAGUUUAAUCUUAUCGGCGUGCUAAGAUCGCCUCGUACACAUUUCGGGGUCCAGAACUACUUCAUUUGACUCCAGCUUCCUGUGCCCUUGGCCCUCUCUCCGCACUCUUCUGGCAAGUGGCAAGUGCGAGUGCGAGUGCGAGUGCGGGAGCGUAUUGCAUAAUUUCACAAUUUUCCAUUUGAUGCUCGUUUUGUGCCCUGCCGCCGCCGUCGAGAUGUUUGUCUAAUCAACUGUCAUUUGUUUGACGUUUCCCUCAGGGAAGACACCAACGACACAACUCCAGCUACGAUGCGGAUGGGACUGUGGCAAUGAGUCUGGGUGGAGGCUUAGCUGGAGGGGAGUUAGACGACGCACUGAGACCUGGAACGCACCAGGACGCAAUGCACAGCACAUCGUGAGCAGUGCCACUCUUGUUGAUUGCUGCGGGGUGUGUCUCCCAGAGACACUGGCUACAAAAAAGUUAAAAGCCAAAUGUGUGGUGCCUUUGCCUGUGCCUUUUCCUUCCCUCUCCUCAGCCUCCCUCUGUGUCGAAGCAGUGACAAUGACAGCGAAACGUAAACGCAAAGCCAAAUGUUGUUUUCAGUGAAUUUGAUGACUUUUAUGUGUGCUCCGACAAGAGAUCAGACGUUUAAGAUGUCCAUUGGGGUGGCAGUGGCCCAUUGUCAUCCGGUGAUUGUUGGUUUUACGGUUACUGUUGCUGCUUGUCGGCGGUUUAGAUCCUUUGUACGACUUGUUUGCCGGCCACGGCAAUUGGCCAAAGGCGCUUAAAAUGAUUUCUAAUUAGCCAACAAUGCAAAGGCACACCUGGGAGUGGAAUUAUCCAACGCUGCUUAAUCGAUUAUGGGCAUUUUAGUCAUGGGAUUAUGCUCUUCUAUUUCGACAAGUAUGCAAUUGUCGGCGUUUGUCUUGGCCGCGUUCAUUAGCCGAACGUGAUGAGAUUUUGGCGCUGGGCCUUCGUCGAAUUGUGGCACAUAAAUUCCAAUUAUGUCAAAUGUAAUAUUUUAAUAAACACUUUCGCAGAGGCCGCACCGCACAGCAGCGGGGAAAGUGGUAGAGCGCAAUAAAUCUUUCGGCUCUUGGCCGUGUCAGAACGGGCAAGCGGCGCAAUUAAUUAACGCCUCAUUAAAACUCGAACCCGAACCCGAACCCGAAACCGACUCCGGGACCCGUGCACGUAGCGGGCCACAC